GACGAACGCUGGCGGCGUGCUUAACACAUGCAAGUCGAACGGAAAGGCCCUGCUUUUGUGGGGUGCUCGAGUGGCGAACGGGUGAGUAACACGUGAGUAACCUGCCCUUGACUUUGGGAUAACUUCAGGAAACUGGGGCUAAUACCGGAUAGGAGCUCCUGCUGCAUGGUGGGGGUUGGAAAGUUUCGGCGGUUGGGGAUGGACUCGCGGCUUAUCAGCUUGUUGGUGGGGUAGUGGCUUACCAAGGCUUUGACGGGUAGCCGGCCUGAGAGGGUGACCGGGAUAAGGGGGACAGAGAUACGGCACAGAGUAGUGCGGGAGACAGCAGUGGGGAAGGUUGCAUGAUGGACGGAAGCCUGAUGCAGGAUGGACGUGUGCGGGAUGGCGGACUUCGGGUGGUAGGCCGCUUUAAGCUGUACGGAUGCGUGAGUGACGGUAAUGGACGAAGAAGCACCGGCUAACUCCGUG
rnacentral:rRNA from 1 species